AUACGGCCAUAUCACGUUGAAACAUCGGUUCUCGUACGAUCACCGAAGCCGGGCCUGGUCAGUACCGAGGUGGGUAACCGCUUGCGAAUACCAAGUGCUGUAUG